rnacentral:rRNA from 1 species
CCUACGGGUGGCAGCAGUAGGGAAUAUUGCUCAAUGGGGGAAACCCUGAUGCAGCAACGCCGCGUGGAGGAUGAAGUUUUUAGGAUUAUAAACUCCUUUUGUUAGGGAAGAUUAUGACGGUAUCUAACGAAUAAGCCCCGGCUAACUCCGUGCCAGCAGCCGCGGUAAUACGGAGGGUGCAAGCGUUACUCGGAAUCACUGGGCGUAAAGAGUGCGUAGGCGGGGUAAUAAGUCAGAUGUGAAAUGCUGUAGCUUAACUACAGAACUGCAUUUGAAACUGUUACUCUGGAGUGCGGGAGAGGUAGGUGGAAUUCUUGGUGUAGGGGUAAAAUCCGUAGAGAUUAAGAGGAACACUGAUGGCGAAGGCGACCUGCUGGAACAUUACUGACGCUGAUGCACGAAAGCGUGGGGAGCAAACAGGAUUAGAUACCCGGGUAGUC